UAAUGCCUUGCAAAGAGGGAUUCCUUCAGCCAUUAUACCUUCAACUACGGAAUUCAGAAAAUAGUCCAUUUUUCUUUUCCUUUUAAGCUUCAAGUUAGUUUCUGCAGUCAUAUAUACAAAAAAUACAAAAAAAUACAGAAAACAGAAAGUCAUUGUUUCAUUAGAAUUUUAGGCUAGUUAUGAUAUUCUAGUUCAUAAUUUCCACUUCUGAUUCUCUAGUUGUUGGUUGAAGUUUCUUGGUGAUUCAUAAUUGAUUUCGAACAAAUUUUGGGUUCAUUCAGUUUGUGUUUGGUUGUUUGUUGUUGCUGCUGGUUUUGUUUGAAAUUUUGGGUUGGAUUUCAAGUUAAAUUGGUGUUAAGCUGUGUGUGUGGGUGAUCUCUGUUUGCUACUGGGUUUCAAAGCUUUUCUGGGUUAAUUGAUUUGAAUCCGGAAGUGCUGUUGAUUUCUUCUCGUUAUUGGUGUUGAGCUACUGAAUAUUAGUUGGUUACUUGCGGCUAAUUUCUUCUCUUCCUUUUCUGUUCUGUUCCCAGGUACAUGGUUUAAAUUCAGCCUGAUGUAACUUCAAAAUUGAGUGGAAUGAAGUCAUGCUUUCCGUAUCUAAGCUUGUUUAUUUGUGUGAAUCAUAGACAGUCAACAAAUAUGAUAUUUGGUUGGUUUUUUUGGACUUGCUAGAAUUAGGGAUUGGAUUGGAUUUGAAAUUUUGUACUGAAUCUGUUAGGCUGUAGACUACAUUUUGAGUAUUUAAUUUGGUAGUUAGUAGUAUCAAUUUGCUGCAUUUUAGUUACUCGUAUAAAACAUGUCUAGUUUGAGUAAUGGAUGUUGUUUGAUUAUACAUAGGAAUUUCAGUUUCCUUUUACCAGCUGUGGAAUGCAUUUAGAAAAAUUAGAAUAAAAUUUUAGUGGGUUUGGCUUAGUCGAAAGAGCUUGGUUGCUGUUGUUAACUAUUAGGAACAAGUUCUUUAAUAUAUUGAUGUGAGUUUUCCUUAGGCCUCUAAAGUUGGAUCUUGAUUAUUUGUUCAUUUUUCAGUAGUUUUCUUAAGUAUAUCAUGUGGUAAAUAGCUAAAUCAUUCUUAGUUUCCAAUUAUGCCUCACUCAUUUAGGUAAAGUAAGAUGAUAAUUACAGUAAAGUUUUAUGUUUUUUAUGUGGUUCCAAUUGAAAUAUGCUCAAUAAUAGCUCGCUCAGUCCUGGGUUCAAUCCCAGGUGUGUUCCUCGGCCAUCCGUUAGGCCUUAUGCCCAUAUUGGGCCACGAUUAACUGGGCCCUUUUUGUUCCCAUUAAGUGGGCCAUUACAGUUAGCCGUUCUGGUUUGUUCAAUUGUUGUUUGCUUCAUUUAUUUGGUAUUCAAUUCACAAUUAAGUUUUCCUAGAGUUACUUGGCCGGUAGAAAUUAUCGUGAUGCUUUAGAUUGACCUUUAAUAGAAUAGCGAGACGAGCCUCGCUAAACAAAAACAAAACGCGGGGCCCUCGAUAUUGGUCUCAUAAAAUUAUUUAGAACUCGGGAAGGUCGUUUAGCGAAUUUCACGGCCUUUCCCAAAUAUUAUUAUGCUAGAAACUUUAAGCGAGAUUUAAUUAAAUUAUUUUCUUAAACGCGGGUGUUCAUUGAUGCGACCCAAAUCCAAAUCUCGACGAAGUCGAAACGUGUCGACGGUCACGUGUACACUGGUGGUGACGUGGUUAGAAAUACGUUUUCAUGACGUCGCAAGUCUUUUUAAAUAUAUAUUGAUAAAAGCGAUUUACUAAUAAAAGGCACAAAAGUUAGCAUGUAUUAGAAUCAGAUAAAGUCAAAUACAACAGUUAAGCAACCGUGCUAGAACCACGGAACCCGGGAAUGCCUAACACCCUCUCCUGGGUUAACAGAAUUCCUUACUCGAAUUUCUGGUUCGUAGACUGUAACAGAGUCAUAAUCUUCCUCGGUUCGGGAUUCAAAUUGGUGACUUGGGACACCAUAAAUCUCCCAAGUGGUGACUCUGAAUAAUUAAUAACCAAGUCCCGUUCCGAUUGUCCUUUAAGUGAAAAAACUCAUUUACGCCCCUUUGCGGGGGUGUAUAGCGAAGAAAGGAGGUGUGACAUCUGUCUAAUGGUCUCACCCGUAGGUGGUUUAAGAAUAAUUCCUAAACCCGCUCCCUUUACGUUAGACGAACCAUCAGUACACAAAAUCCAAGUUACUGGGUUUGUUCCAUUAAAGACUUGUAAUUCCUUUUUCUGCUUCUAAAUGCAUCCCUUGACUAAAAUUUGCUACGAAAUCAGCAAGAACUUGGGAUUUUAUAGCAGUCCUAGGUUGAUAAAUGAUUUCAUACUCACUUAAUUAUAUAGCCCAUUUUGCUAAUCUUCCUUAUAAUUCAUGUUUAUGGAAAAUGUUUCGUAAUGGAAAAGAAGUAACUACGACAAUUAGAUGACAUUGAAAAUAAGGUCUUAAUUUCCUAGAUGCCAUGAUUUAAGCUAGUGCCAACUUUUCUAGUUGUGGAUAUUGUGUCUCAGCAUCUAAUAAAGAUUUGCUAACAUAAUAAAUAGGAGAUUGCUUACCUUGGUCUUCUCGUAGCAAAACAGCACUUACUGUGACUUCUGAUACUGCUAGGUAAAUGAGCAAUGUUUCACCUUCUUUUGGUUUUGCCAACAGUGGAUGAUUUGAUAAAUAAGCUUUCAAAUUCCUAAAGGCUUUUUGACAAUCCUCGUUCCAUUCAAAAUGGUUUUGCUUUUUGAGAGCAGAAAAGAACUUAAAACAAUUUUAUGAAGAUUUAGAAAUAUAUCUUCCCAGGGUGGCAAUCUUUCCCGUUACUCUUCCUUCUUAUUGGUAAGGAUAUCAGGUAUUUCUUCUAUUGCUUUAAUCUGAGAUAGAUUUACUUCGAUGCCACUGUUAGAAACAAGAAAAUCCAAAAAUUUAUCUGAAGCAACUCCGAAUGCAUACUUUUCUGGGUUGAGUUUCAUGUUAAAUUUUUGUAAAGUUUCAAAUGUAACAGAUAAAUGAGAAAUAUGAUCAUGAGAAUACUGGGUUUUGACGAGCAUAUCAUCUAUAUAUACUUCCAUUGUCUUUCCUAAAUGUUCUUGGAAUAUUUUGGUGACCAACCUUUGAUAGGUUGCCCCAGCAUUUUUGAGACUAAAGGAUAUUACUUUAUAACAGGAAGUCCCCAUGUCUGUGAUGAAAGACCUAAAUGUUCUUGAAACAUUUUGGUGAUCAACCUUUGAUAGGUUGCUCCAUCAUUUUUGAGACCAAAGGGCAUGACUUUAUAACAGUAAGUCCACCUAUCUGUGAUGAAUGAGUUUUUUUCCUCAUCACCGGGAUCCUUUUUAAUUUGAUUAUAUCUAGAAUAUGCAUCUAAAUAGCUUAAAAGUUCAUGACCUGCAGUUGCGUCAACUAAGUGAGCUAUAUGUGGUAAAGGGAAAGAGUCUUUUGGGAAAGCUUUUUUAAUAUCAGUAUAAUCCACAUAAACACGCCACUUACCAUUUUUCUUAGGUGCGACCACCGUAUUAACUAACCAAUUAGGAUACUUUACCUCACGGAUCGACCCAAUGUUAAAUAAUUUUUGGACCUCAUCCUGAAUUACCUGAUUGUUGAAAGCACAUUUCUUUCUUUUCUUUUACUUUACCGGUGUGAAAGAUGGGUCCUGGUUGAGUUAGUGAGUCAUCACAUCAGGUGGUAUCCCUGUCAUAUGAGCGUGGGACCAAGCAAAAAAGUCCACGUUAGCUUUUAAAAAGUCAAUUAACAUACCUCGCAUGUCGGGAUUUAGAUUGGCUCCAACAUAAACCUUUCUUUCAGGCCAUUGCUCAAAUAACACCACAACGUCGAGCUCCUCUAUUGUUGUUUUAAUGAUCUCAUUUUCUUCAGGUUCUUGAAUUACAUCAGGUCUCGAGUCUAAAUCUAUUUUUUCUUGUUCAGUUGAAGUUUGAUUGUUGACAUCUCCAACUGUUUCAUGUAAUUGCUAUUUCUCUUUAAUGACGGUGCUCGUAUCUGUUAUGGCGUUGAUAUUCCUGGCUGCUUGUUGAUCUCCUCGAAUUUGACAUAUUCGCAGGGUGAUGGAAACUUAAUAACUUGAUGCAAAGUUGAUGGAACAUCGUCCAUAUCAUGGAUCCAUGGUCUCCCCAUGAUAAUAUUGUAGGUCAUUUCCAUAUCAGUUACGUGAAAUUUAGUUUCUUU
rnacentral:lncRNA from 1 species